GGGACCCCCCCCAGGACGUGCCAGCAGUCGCGGUAAUACGUAGAACACUAGUGUUAUUCAUGUUUAAUCGGUUUAAAGGGUACCUAGACGGUGAAUCAAGCUUUAGAAUAAAGAAGAAAAGGAACUAAUUCGCUAGAGUUACUUACGAGGGGGUAGUAAAGUACUGCUGGUGUAGAGAUGAAAUUCUGUCAUACCUCUUUUCGAAAGAAAAAUUAUGGCACAGGUAUAGGCGAAGGCAUCCCCUUAUGUGAUAACUGACGUUGAGGGGACGAAGGCUUCGUGGAACAAACAGGAUUAGAUACCCUAGUUGUUUGAAGCAAAAAAUGAUGAAAGGUCAUAGAUAAGACGUCCUAAGUUUUAUUCUAUAAAUGAAAGUGGUAAGCAUUCCCCCCUCAGGAGUAAUUUGGGCAACCUUUGGAAAUUGAAAAUCAUUUAAACCCGUUUCUGAAACCAGUAGUGAAGAACGUCGUUUAAUUUGAUAAUACGCAAAAAACCACACCCCAAUUUGACCCCACAAAAAGUUUAUUGUUAUCCUUUUAAUUUUCUUCACAAAACCAAUAAAAGCAACAGCAUUGGAAAACAGGAAAAGCCACCCCCCCAAGAGGGGGGAACAGAGGGGGGGGGGGGGGCCCCCCCCCCCGCCCCCAUGGAAGGGGGGGGGGGGUUGGUUUCUUCCCCCCAACCCUACCUUCCAAAUUUUGGGGGUUUUUUUUCCCCCGGGCCCCCGAGCGAC
rnacentral:rRNA from 1 species